rnacentral:ncRNA from 1 species
UGAUCCAGGCUCGAUCCGGGUUCUCCUGCGUGCAGUCUGUGCGCCGGAGUGAAACGGGAAGUCCGGUGCCUUUGGAUAGCUGAUCUUAAAAUCAUUGUCCAGACAGUCCGGCGCAGCCCCCGCUGCUGUAAACCUGACAAAUCUGUCCCAAUGCCACUGUGCGAUGCACGGGAAGGCGGACAGAGGCGAGUGAAGGUAAGCCAGAAGACCGGCCUUGAUCGAGUGAAUGGU